GCCGCGGUCCUACCAGAUUUGUAAAGAGAAAAAAUACACAUGGGGCUCGUCUCCUUCCUCUCGCCCACGAAGCCGCCGCCGCCGCCGCCCACGCCGGCCGCUUCCGGCGAGCUCCGGCGCUGCGCAGCACGUCCUCGAGCUCCCCACGGUCCGUGCCUCCCUCCCCUCCGGCCAGAUUCUCCGCUCCCGCCCUCUAUCGCCCGCUCGCAACCCUACCCUCAUGGCUAGGGUUUCGGGCAGAGCUUUGCCGGCAAGCCUCCACCCCCUCUCGCUGCCUUCUCCCACCACGCCGGCCUCCUUCCCUAGCUACCCUCCUGCCGUGGAGCACCCUCGCACUGGCCACUCCCUUCUCCCCCCUCCCGGCUCCUUCCAUUGCCAAACUGGAGCACCAGCCGCUCCUCCUCCACCUCCUCGAUUUGGUGCAUCAACACCACGAGCUAACCCACCAGCGAUGGUCUACUCCAGUGUGGGUCGGCGUGGGCUUACCCAAUCUAGGGCAGACGCGUCGGUGACGGCAUGGAGAGAGGAGGAGGAAGGUGAGAAAGGAUGCCAAGGCAACAGUGAGAUCCACGUGAGCCACCAUGGCCACGACCAGAUCCACAACAAGGUUAAAUGGGGCCGGCUGCACCCUACAGGAAAACGAAGCUCUCCAAGGAAAUACACCCGAGGGUGAUGGUUGAGACAAUCUCUGCUAUGGCCCCUUUUGCCAAGGGUGUCAGCCACGCGGACGAGACUGGGCGCUGUGAUCUCCACUGGUAGGCUUGCAGCAGGCAUAGGAGAGGAGGCCGUCCGCGUGGAGCACUGGACCACACAAUGUAUAUGAGCCACACAUGCAUAAGUUAACAAUUGCUUGCGUAGCUGGCGGACACCACAAAGGCAUCUGUUCUAGGGCUGUAUUCGCACAUGGUUCAUGUCGAAGCUCUACACAGUCAUGAGGCAAAUUUGGACCUUGAAGAAAAGGAUUGUGGUUGGAGAGAAUAUGUAAGGCUAAUGUUUGAGCAGUGGGAGAGUGAAAAGAGGCGAGAGUGAUACCCCAAGUACUUGAUUUGAGUCAAACAUGGUUUGUUGUACAGGAUUCCACCGUAUUUAUCCACACAAAUAGUUCUUGAUAUUUACUCAUGAUUGUUUUUCUCCAUAGUUCAGUGUUUACAUCUUUAUUCUCCUAAUAUAGUCAUAUUUUCCAUAUAUGUGCAGCUUUUAUUUUGAGUUCCUGGGUGCCACUCUGAAGGCGAAUUCUUCCUGGUUGUAUCAUGCACCUGUGUCUUGCCGUUGUAUAUUCUCAAAGCUUCGAACACUACUUUGACCUGUGACAAAUAUGUGUACUACUUAAUUUCGUGAAACUGAUCAUAGCUACCCGCAGGGUUUUCUUCACUCGCCAGCUCUGGCUUUUGGUGUACAUGGUACACCGUGACAAUUCUGUCUUGGUUCUAGGCAAGUAGGUUGAAAUGAUCAUCUGUUAUCAUCAGUGUCGUGUUUACACUUGCAAUGCGGUUAUUAAGCUUAAGCUAAAGAUCUGAUUGUACUGUCUUUAGGUGGAAUGGCUAAGCCCUUUUUGUGGUCCUUUUUACAGAAUAUCUUACAAAUGGCACACUAAAGCGCAGGAAAUUAUUAGGUAUGGAAGUUCUGUGUGUGUUGACUGCCGUAGGGGCCAGGCUGACUGGCAGGAAAGUUGGGGAUGUCGUCGCGUACGCAGGCAAGCCUAUGGGCUCUUAUGCUAAAUAGCAGAUUAUCCCAGUCAAUGUUGGUUCCUGUCACGCCUUCGAUUGAUCACAAGACGGCGGCUGCUAUCAUGCUCAAGGGGAGGAAUGUCCAUAUGCUGGUUCGUCGCAUAUUUAAGUAGCCCAUGGCUGCGGGCAUCCAUCUCCGUGUGAUGCACUCCUCCGGCACACGUAUGAGCGUGCGUCGUCAAGCGGGCGUCGGACCCAUCUCCGUGUGAGGCGCUCCUCCGGCACAAUCUACCCGUCAUGCGCGCUCACUACCUCCGGCACAACGACCGGUCCAGAUCACCUCUUCCCAGUCGUCAGGGGCUUAGUCAACAGCGGUCUCCACCCCGGCCAUGCCCUGCAACAUGUCUUCGUCAAGUACGUCGACCUCGACCGGAACUGCGUCCAAGGGCAUCGCGAGUGCUGGUUACGCUCUUACUCGAAAGGUACCCGAGGUUUUAUGGGCAAGGGCCACCAUUGAUUCAUUGUUUCUUAGGACAGUGUCAACCAUGGAUGCAAGAAUCUCAUGAACUACCCUGCUUUGCUCCAAGAAUCAAGAGUACUGUUGCUUAAAUCGUGAAUAACUGUACAAAGGCACUAUACCAUCCAGGAUCCAGCCCCUCUCCAUUUAGUACUAGAUUCCACAUGGGUAAAACUACAUACAGACCUGGGUGUACAAUUAUGGGCAAAGCUACGUAUGGAUUUGGGUGUACAAAAAUACACCUAUUAUUUUUUUCAAAACUUCUGAAUACCUUUGUAUGAUUCAUGUAUAUAGAACAAUAUACAUCAAGAAAUCAGGAAACAUGAGUAAAAUUGUAAAUCUGAAGGACUAUAUGCACCA